GGGUGGGGAGGGGGGUGCACAAAAGAUUAAAACACCUGACUUGUCCCUUGCAUAUAGACUAAGAUAAAAUAAGAGGACUUGUUCAUUACCAAAGCCUUCUUAGGAAUAUUUGAUAGGACAAAAGCAAAUCUCACUAGAGUCAAGUAACUGCUGAAAGAAACAAGAGGCUUCUCUCAACAUGGACGUGCAAUUGACAAAUGUGGCUCUUGCAAUUGGAGGUGUAUCAUUAACAAUAGCACAAAUAAUAAUUCCAUUUGGCUGGCCAUCAAUCUUCCUCGGCGUCGCUGGAAUCCUCACCAUACCAAAGUUAUAUUCACAGUUGAAGACAACCAGAAGUCGGUCUCGUCCCCGAAGUCACUCCCAUCCCCAAAGUACCUCCCGUCCCAAAAGUCACUCCCGUCCCUAAAGUCGCUUGUCAGGGACCAAGCAGUACAGGCAAGGACACAUGUAGUAUCUAAUGAUUUGUAACUUGAAUCAGGUUCUGUUCAAAUUAAAUACUGUUGGUGCAAGGGGGUUUACAUUGUAUUUUGGUCAUGAGUUGGAGUGAACUUUGGAAGGGAUGUUUGGGCUAAAAGUGAUGACUUGGAUGUGAUCUUUGGUUUACCAUGUAGCAAAUCCUAUAUGUUAUCUAAAAUGUGACU